rnacentral:rRNA from 1 species
UACAGAGGUCCCAAGCGUUGUUCGGAUUCACUGGGCGUAAAGGGCGCGUAGGCGGCCUCGUCCGUCCGGCGUGAAAUGCCUGGGCUCAACCCAGGAAUUGCGCUCGAUACAGCGAGGCUAGAGUGUGGGAGAGGUUGGUGGAAUUCCCAGUGUAGAGGUGAAAUUCGUAGAUAUUGGGAAGAACACCGGUGGCGAAGGCGGCCAACUGGACCACAACUGACGCUGAGGCGCGAAAGCGUGGGGAGCAAACAGG